UACGCAGGGUGCGAGCGUUAACCGGAAUUACUGGGCGUAAAGCGUGCGCAGGCGGUCUUUUAAGCCAGAUGUGAAAGCCCCGGGCUUAACCUGGGAACUGCGUUUGGAACUGGAAGGCUAGAGUACGGCAGAGGGGGGUGGAAUUCCACGUGUAGCAGUGAAAUGCGUAGAGAUGUGGAGGAACACCGAUGGCGAAGGCAGCCCCCUGGGCCUGUACUGACGCUCAUGCACGAAAGCGUGGGGAGCAAACAGG
rnacentral:rRNA from 1 species